rnacentral:tRNA from 1 species
GGAGGGUUGUCCGAGUGGCCGAUGGAGCUUGUCUUGAAAACAAGUGGGCAGCGAUGUCUCAAGGGUUCGAAUCCCUUACCCUCCGCCG